GAGUAAUGCAGAGGUAGGCGGAAUUCCCGGUGUAGCGGUGGAAUGCGUAGAUAUCGGGAGGAACACCAGUGGCGAAGGCGGCCUACUGGGCAUCAACUGACGCUGAGGCUCGAAAGCAUGGGUAGCAAACAGGAUUAGAUACCCUGGUAGUCCAUGCUGUAAACGAUGAUUACUAGGUGUGGGAAGAUUGACCCUUUCCGUGCCGCAGUUAACACAAUAAGUAAUCCACCUGGGGAGUACGACCGCAAGGUUGAAACUCAAAGGAAUUGACGGGGGCCCGCACAAGCAGUGGAGUAUGUGGUUUAAUUCGAAGCAACGCGAAGAACCUUACCAGGUCUUGACAUCCAACGACCGCCUAAGAGAUUAGGCUUUCCUUCGGGACGUUGAGACAGGUGGUGCAUGGUUGUCGUCAGCUCGUGUCGUGAGAUGUUGGGUUAAGUCCCGCAACGAGCGCAACCCUUAUUACUAGUUACUACGCAAGAGGACUCUAGUGAGACUGCCGUUGACAAAACGGAGGAAGGUGGGGAUGACGUCAAAUCAUCAUGCCCUUUAUGACCUGGGCUACACACGUACUACAAUGGCUAUUAACAGAGAGAAGCGAGACCGCAAGGUGGAGCAAACCUCAGAAAAAUAGUCUCAGUCCGGAUUGGGGGCUGCAACCCGCCCCCAUGAAGCCGGAAUUGCUAGUAAUCGCGGAUCAGCAUGCCGCGGUGAAUACGUUCCCGGGCCUUGUACACACCGCCCGUCACACCAUGAGAGCCGGGGGGACCCGAAGUCGGUAGUCUAACCGCAAGGAGGACGCCGCCGAAGGUAAAACUGGUGAUUGGGGUGAAGUCGUAACAAGGUAACCGUAAAGGGCGAAUUCGGAGCCUGCUUUUGUACAAAGUGCCGCAACAGUNGNNU
rnacentral:rRNA from 1 species